rnacentral:rRNA from 1 species
CCUACGGGAGGCAGCAGUCGAGAAUCAUUCACAAUGGGGGAAACCCUGAUGGUGCGACGCCGCGUGGGGGAAUGUAGGUCUUCGGAUUGUAAACCCCUGUCAUGUGGGAGCAAAUUAAAAAGAUAGUACCACAAGAGGAAGAGACGGCUAACUCUGUGCCAGCAGCCGCGGUAAUACAGAGGUCUCAAGCGUUGUUCGGAAUCACUGGGCGUAAAGCGUGCGUAGGCUGUUUCGUAAGUCGUGUGUGAAAGGCGCGGGCUCAACCCGCGGACGGCACAUGAUACUGCGAGACUAGAGUAAUGGAGGGGGAACCGGAAUUCUCGGUGUAGCAGUGAAAUGCGGAGAUAUCGAGAGGAACACUCGUGGCGAAGGCGGGUUCCUGGACAUUAACUGACGCUGAGGCACGAAGGCCAGGGGAGCGAAAGGGAUUAGAUACCCCUGUAGUC